rnacentral:rRNA from 1 species
UUGUACUUGACACUGAAUAUUCACAAAAGUGAGUAUCGAUUGUCAGGUACAACUUUAGCGGCGGACGGGUGCGUAACGCGUGGGUAAUCUGCCCUUGUCACUGGGAUAACACAUCGAAAGGUGUGCUAAUACCGGAUAAAAUACAGACUCGGCAUCGAGAUUGUAUCAAAGUCAUGCGGACAAGGAUGAGCCUGCGUCUGAUUAGCUAGUUGGUGGGGUAAUGGCCUACCAAGGCGACGAUCAGUAGCCGACCUGAGAGGGUGAUCGGCCACACUGGAACUGAGACACGGUCCAGACUCCUACGGGAGGCAGCAGUGGGGAAUAUUGCACAAUGGGCGAAAGCCUGAUGCAGCAACGCCGCGUGAGUGAUGAAGGUUUUCGGAUCGUAAAACUCUGUUCUAAGGGAAGAUAAUGACGGUACCUUAGGAGGAAGCCCCGGCUAACUACGUGCCAGCAGCCGCGGUAAUACGUAGGGGGCAAGCGUUAUCCGGAAUUACUGGGCGUAAAGGGUGCGUAGGUGGCCUGACAAGUCAGGGGUCAAAGGCAACGGCUCAACCGUUGUAAGCCCUUGAAACUGUCGGGCUUGAGUUCAGGAGAGGAAAGCGGAAUUCCUAGUGUAGCGGUGAAAUGCGUAGAUAUUAGGAGGAACACCAGUGGCGAAGGCGGCUUUCUGGACUGAUACUGACACUGAGGCACGAAAGCGUGGGGAGCAAACAGGAUUAGAUACCCUGGUAGUCCA